rnacentral:misc_RNA from 1 species
AACGCACCUUGCGCCCCUUGGAAUUCCGAGGGGCACACCCGUUUGAGUGUCGUGAACAUCCUUCAACCUUUCUUGGUUUCUUGACCGAGGAAGGCUUGGACUUUGGGGGUCCUUCAUUGCUGGCCUCUUUGAAGCCAGCUCCUCCUAAAUGGAUUAGUGUGGUCUGCUUUGCCGAUCCUUGACGUGAUAAGAUGUUUCUACGUCUUGGGUUUUGCACUGUCGCUUUAGACCCCGCUUCUAACUGUCUCGUCUUGCAUUCAAGACAGAGUUUUUAAACCUUGACCUCAAAUCGGGUGAGACUACCCGCUGAACUUAA